CUGAGUUCCGAAAUUGCUCCCCAUGUAGGAUUUUUUUUUUUCAUCUAAAGGAAGGAAGAUAGUGUGUAGUCACACUGGCCUGGAAUUGUCCAUAUGGCCCAGGCUGGCCUAGAACUUAUAAUCCUUCUAGUGAUGGCAUUACAGCAUGAGCCACCAUUCCCAAGUAAACAGUAACUUUGGAGAAGCCCAGCAGCCACUGUGGCAAGCUGACAAAAGCUGACAAUAUCAGUAACAGAACCACUGAGUGCUUUGUGAAGAAGACUGCAAUAUUCCUCAUAGGAACAUGUAACCCCGGCAGUUGGCUGACCCACAGAAACACUUCUGAGCUUCUUUGCUGUUGGGAACGGGACAACGAGUUAUACAAAAGUAAAGCAUGUAAGAGUGACAACAUGUUAAGAAUCACAGCAGCCUACAGGAGAUGUAAAUGUUUAAUAUUAACAGAUUCUUACAGACCUGCCUCUAAUAGAAAUGCUAAGAAUUGUUUGUUUAAAAAAAAAAUCAUUCUUUUUUCACCACUA